AUUAACCCAAGUAAUCUGCUGUCAGACCGAUCGUUGCAGCUACAAAUGUUCCAGACUAACAUGAAGCCUUGCAGGUGUAGUAAAGCUUAUUGCUUCACGUGUGUUGCUGCUGCAAGCUUGGAGCUAGAUUACAUCAUGACAUCAUGAAGGAGGCAACUGAUUCUGGCCCUGUGACACUUGGUGACGUGUGAGCUGAUUCAUCUGGUAAACAACAUGUAAAUCAAAUAUUUUGUUCUUUGCUAUCAAAAGUAAAUUAACAAAUAACUUGCAUUAUUGCAGGACAGUCAGCAAAAUAUGGACUCUACACCAUGAGGCAGGCACACGUUAAUACUUUAUAAGAGCACAUAAGCAUGAGGAUGUCCUCACACACCUGUAACCUAUCAGCUCAUCUGGCAGAAUAGAGAGAGAAGAGACAACACCAC